rnacentral:rRNA from 1 species
UGCGCAGGCGGUUGUGCAAGACAGAUGUGAAAUCCCCGGGCUUAACCUGGGAACUGCAUUUGUGACUGCACGGCUAGAAUCUGGCAGAGGGGGGUAGAAUUCCACGUGUAGCAGUGAAAUGCGUAGAUAUGUGGAGGAAUACCGAUGGCGAAGGCAGCCCCCUGGGCUAAGAUUGACGCUCAUGCACGAAAGCGUGGGGAGCAAACAGGAUUAGAUACCCUGGUAGUCCACGCCCUAAACGAUGUCUACUAGUUGUCGGGUCUUAAUUGACUUGGUAACGCAGCUAACGCGUGAAGUAGACCGCCUGGGGAGUACGGUCGCAAGAUUAAA